rnacentral:hammerhead_ribozyme from 1 species
GCACUACAGAGAAGUCCCAUAAUAGGACGAAACAGCUGUCCAGUGC